rnacentral:rRNA from 1 species
AAUGCCUAGGAAUCUGCCUGGUAGUGGGGGAUAACGUUCGGAAACGGACGCUAAUACCGCAUACGUCCUACGGGAGAAAGCAGGGGACCUUCGGGCCUUGCGCUAUCAGAUGAGCCUAGGUCGGAUUAGCUAGUUGGUGAGGUAAUGGCUCACCAAGGCGACGAUCCGUAACUGGUCUGAGAGGAUGAUCAGUCACACUGGAACUGAGACACGGUCCAGACUCCUACGGGAGGCAGCAGUGGGGAAUAUUGGACAAUGGGCGAAAGCCUGAUCCAGCCAUGCCGCGUGUGUGAAGAAGGUCUUCGGAUUGUAAAGCACUUUAAGUUGGGAGGAAGGGUUGUAGAUUAAUACUCUGCAAUUUUGACGUUACCGACAGAAUAAGCACCGGCUAACUCUGUGCCAGCAGCCGCGGUAAUACAGAGGGUGCAAGCGUUAAUCGGAAUUACUGGGCGUAAAGCGAGCGUAGGUGGUUUGUUAAGUUGGAUGUGAAAUCCCCGGGCUCAACCUGGGAACUGCAUUCAAAACUGACUGACUAGAGUAUGGUAGAGGGUGGUGGAAUUUCCUGUGUAGCGGUGAAAUGCGUAGAUAUAGGAAGG